rnacentral:sRNA from 5 species
AGCGGCGUUAACUCUUCGUUGACCUUUCAUGAUCAAUCUGGCUGCAGUUCCGCCCUUGCCUUUGACCACGGAUGUACUGGCACUGAUGUGAAGGCGGAUGGCGAAAGGCCGGGUCAUUCCGGCCUUUUUGUUU